GCCCCCCCCCCCCAGAAGUCUGCCAACGCCACCCUGUCAAUACAAACGCCUCCGUGGCUCGACAGGUGGCUCGACACUGCGCCGCUGCGACGCGCAGCCGGCUCCCGGAAUCCAGAAGUGUCGCGAAAGGCUUUGUGAGAGAGAGAGAGUCAGUCCAGUCAUGCGCCCAUUGUUCAGGCAAUGUGAACCUGGCUAUCUUACCAUCCAGGUUUGGGCCCUGGAUAUCUAAAGGACCACCUGCUCCCAAGGGUUUCUGCCCACUUGACAAGAUCAUCGGGGGUGUGUGUGUGUGUCUCUAUUCUGCAUGCUGACAACGAGAGGCUCGACUGUUGAGCAUGUGGGCCAGGGCCUUCUCAGUCAUAGCCCCCAGGCUUUGGCAUGCUCUCCCAGCUGGCAUCUGCUCCUCAGCCUCCAACACAGUUUUUACAAAAUGUUAAAACAUUAAAACUAUCAAAACAUUUAAAAAGUGUUACUGUUUUAUAUAGGUUUUAAAACAUUUAAAUAGAAAUAUUUUAUAUUUUAUAUUUUUAUUUAAUAACUGGACUUGUAUUUUAAAAGUGCAUUGUUUUAAUUAUAUUGUAAACUGCUUUGGGAUUAUCUUAAUGAAAAGCAGUAUAGAAAUAAAUCAAUCAUUCAAUACA